UACGUAGGUCCCGAGCGUUAUCCGGAUUUAUUGGGCGUAAAGCGAGCGCAGGCGGUUGGAUAAGUCUGGAGUUAAAGGCUGCGGCUUAACCAUAGUACGCUUUGGAAACUGUUUAACUUGAGUGCAGAAGGGGAGAGUGGAAUUCCAUGUGUAGCGGUGUAAUGCGUAGAUAUAUGGAGGAACACCGGUGGCGAAAGCGGCUCUCUGGUCUGUAACUGACGCUGAGGCUCGAAAGCGUGGGGAGCAAACAGG
rnacentral:rRNA from 1 species